AAACAAGGAUGGAGAAUAGAAAAUUACUGCUUCGAUAUGUUAAACUUCAUGUUGUCCGAAUGCAGCACAGGAUUCUAAUUUUUAAGGAAGAAAUAACAUAUAUUUAUUGACAACAUUAUUGAUGUGUUCACUGAGUAUAGUAUUGAUAUGUGAAGCAGAAUUCUUGAAUCAACAUCGUUAUCAAUUUCAAAAAGAUUCGAACACAAAGCUGUUAAAUGAAGAGAUGACCCCAUGAUAUUCAUGAAUACAUCAUAUUCUAAUAUUGUCUAAGCCCAUGAGAACUUCUUCUGACAGAACCACAUUAAACUAAUGUCAUGAAAUGCCACUGCAGUAUGAUUUCGAAGCAGCUGCUAUACAAUGUUUAUAUUACCAACUGGCUAAUGGUGCUAACUUAUUUGGAUUAUCGAAUCCUACAGAAUUAAACUUUUAUAUAAAGCAUGAUACAUGUUCGUUAAAAUGAUUAAAUUACAAUGGAGCAAAUUUGAAGUAAGUUUUAAUAGACAAUGUUCUUAAUUAAUUAAUCAAUGACCUAUAUAUAAGCGAAUUAGCUUAAGUAAA